AUCAGGUGCGGUGGUGUGUGCCUGUAGUCCCAGCUACUCAGGAGGCUGACGCUGGAGGAUGACUUGAGCCCAGGAGUUCUGGGCUAUAGUGCGCUAUGCUUAUCAGGCAUCUGCACUAAGUUCGGCGUCAAUAUGGUGACCUCUCGGGAGCGGGGGACCACCAGGUUGCCUAAGGAGGGGUGAACCGGCCCAGGUCAGAAACGGAGCAGGUCAAAACUCCUGUGCUGAUCAGUAGUGGGAUCUCGCCUGUGAAUAGCCACUGCACUCCAGCCUGGGCAACAUAGCAAGACCCUGUCUCU
rnacentral:SRP_RNA from 1 species